rnacentral:rRNA from 1 species
UUAGAGUUUGAUCCUGGCUCAGGACGAAUGCUGGCGGCGUGCUUAACACAUGCAAGUCGAACGGAGCGCCUAUGAAGGAGAUUUCGGUCAACGGAUUAGGCUGCUUAGUGGCGGACGGGUGAGUAACGCGUGAGGAACCUGCCUUUCAGAGGGGGACAACAGUUGGAAACGACUGCUAAUACCGCAUAACACAUAGGUGUCGCAUGGCAUUUAUGUCAAAGAUUUAUCGCUGAAAGAUGGCCUCGCGUCUGAUUAGCUAGUUGGUAGGGUAACGGCCUACCAAGGCGACGAUCAGUAGCCGGACUGAGAGGUUGGCCGGCCACAUUGGGACUGAGAUACGGCCCAGACUCCUACGGGAGGCAGCAGUGGGGAAUAUUGGGCAAUGGGCGCAAGCCUGACCCAGCAACGCCGCGUGAAGGAAGAAGGCUUUCGGGUUGUAAACUUCUUUUGACAGGGAAGAGUAGAAGACGGUACCUGUCGAAUAAGCCACGGCUAACUACGUGCCAGCAGCCGCGGUAAUACGUAGGUGGCAAGCGUUGUCCGGAUUUACUGGGUGUAAAGGGCGUGUAGCCGGGUUGACAAGUCAGAUGUGAAAUCCUGCGGCUUAACCGCAGAACUGCAUUUGAAACUGUUGAUCUUGAGUACUGGAGAGGCAGACGGAAUUCCUAGUGUAGCGGUGAAAUGCGUAGAUAUUAGGAGGAACACCAGUGGCGAAGGCGGUCUGCUGGACAGCAACUGACGGUGAGGCGCGAAAGCGUGGGGAGCAAACAAGGGUAGAUACCCUGGUAGUCCACGCUGUAAACGAUGGAUACUAGGUGGUGCGGGGACUGACCCCCUGCGUGCCGCAGCUUACGCAAAUAAGUAUCCCACCUGGGGGAGUACGAUCGCAAGGUUGAAACUCAAAGGAAUUGACGGGGGCCCGCACAAGCGGUGGAUUAUGUGGUUUAAUUCGAUGCAACGCGAAGAACCUUACCAGGGCUUGACAUCCUACUAACGAAGUAGAGAUACAUUAGGUACCCUUCGGGGGAAGUAGAGACAGGUGGUGCAUGGUUGUCGUCAGCUCGUGUCGUGAGAUGUUGGGUUAAGUCCCGCAACGAGCGCAACCCUUAUUGUUAGUUGCUACGCAAGAGCACUCUAGCGAGACUGCCGUUGACAAAACGGAGGAAGGUGGGGACGACGUCAAAUCAUCAUGCCCCUUAUGUCCUGGGCUACACACGUAAUACAAUGGCGGCCAACAGAGGGAUGCAAAGCUGUGAAGUGGAGCGAACCCCUAAAAGCCGUCCCAGUUCAGAUUGCAGUCUGCAACUCGACUGCAUGAAGUCGGAAUCGCUAGUAAUCGCGGAUCAGCAUGCCGCGGUGAAUACGUUCCCGGGCCUUGCACACACCGCCCGUCA